GUGUUUCUGUCCCUAAGUUCAAUGAUACCUCACAACAGACUCUACAUCAUACAGUUCAUUAGCUGUGUAAGGGGACGUGGCCAAAGCAUAGUGGUCGGGGCAAACCUUUACCAAUAAAAAAGGAAGUCUCUGCUGAGUUCAUUGAUACCUCACAUAAGACUCUACCUUAAACGGGUCAACAGUUCU